AGGUAGAGGCGCGUUUUUAUAAAAGUAGCCGUACGGAGGUAUGCAGUUACCUGUGAAAUACGGUGAAAGGAUAGGACGCCGAAGUUUCAGUGCGAUUGCACGCGCUGUUGCUGGGCAUGCCGCAAACAGCGGUAUGACUGUCAUCGUAAGGUGGGGAGCUAUCG
rnacentral:ncRNA from 1 species